rnacentral:rRNA from 1 species
GGACCAGACUCCUACGGGAGGCAGCAGUGGGGAAUAUUGCACAAUGGGGGGAACCCUGAUGCAGCGACGCCGCGUGGGCGAGGAAGUCUUUCGGUAUGUAAAGCCCUAUCGGCAGGGAAGAAGAAAUGACGGUACCUGAAUAAGAAGCACCGGCUAAAUACGUGCCAGCAGCCGCGGUAAUACGUAUGGUGCAAGCGUUAUCCGGAUUUACUGGGUGUAAAGGGCGUGUAGGCGGGACUGCAAGUCAGAUGUGAAAACCAUGGGCUCAACCUGUGGCCUGCAUUUGAAACUGUAGUUCUUGAGUACUGGAGAGGCAGACGGAAUUCCUAGUGUAGCGGUGAAAUGCGUAGAUAUUAGGAGGAACACCAGUGGCGAAGGCGGUCUGCUGGACAGCAACUGACGCUGAGGCGCGAAAGCGUGGGGAGCAAACAGGAUUAGAUACCCGUGUAG